rnacentral:rRNA from 1 species
AGUUGAUCAUGGCUCAGGAUGAACGCUAGCGAUAGGCUUAACACAUGCAAGUCGAGGGGCAGCACGGUGUAGCAAUACACUGGUGGCGACCGGCGUACGGGUGCGUAACACGUAUGCAACCUACCCGCUAUGGGGGAUAACCCGGCGAAAGUCGGACUAAUACCCCAUAUUAUUCUUACCGGGCAUCCGGUAGGUCUGAAAGAUUUAUCGAUUGCGGAUGGGCAUGCGGAUGAUUAGCUAGUAGGUGGGGUAACGGCUCACCUAGGCGACGAUCAUUAGGGGUUCUGAGAGGAAGUCCCCCCACACUGGAACUGAGACACGGUCCAGACUCCUACGGGAGGCAGCAGUGAGGAAUAUUGGUCAAUGGGCGCUAGCCUGAACCAGCCAAGUCGCGUGAAGGAUGAACCAGAUCUAUGGUUUGUAAACUUCUUUUGCAGGGGAGUAAAGUGCGACACGUGUGUUGUAUUGCAAGUACCCUGCGAAUAAGCAUCGGCUAACUCCGUGCCAGCCGCCGC